CUCAGUAACGGCCGAGUGAAGCGGCAACAGCUCAAAUUUAAAAUCUGGCCCCUUUGGGGUCCGAGUUGUAAUUUGCAGAGGAUGCUUCGGCUGCGACCCCGGUCUAAGUUCCUUGGAACAGGACGUCAUAGAGGGUGAGAACCCCGUAUGUGGCCAGGUGUCAACGCCGUGUGAAGCUCCUUCGACGAGUCGAGUUGUUUGGGAAUGCAGCUCUAAAUGGGAGGUAUAUUUCUUCUAAGGCUAAAUACCAGCGAGAGACCGAUAGCGCACAAGUAGAGUGAUCGAAAGAUGAAAAGCACUUUGGAAAGAGAGUUAAAAAGUACGUGAAAUUGUUGAAAGGGAAGCGCUUGCAACUAGAUUUGGACGUGGUUGUUUACCCGGGCUUCCUGCCCUGUGCACUCUUCCGCGUCCAGGCCAGCAUCGGUUUGGGCGGCCAGAUAAAGGCCGUGGGAAUGUAGCUCCUCCCGGGGAGUGUUAUAGCCCACGGUGGAAUGUGGCCAGCCUAGACCGAGGUCCGCGCUUCGGCUAGGAUGCUGGCGUAAUGGUUGUAAGCGGCCCGUCUUGAAACACGGACCAAGGAGUCUAACAUCUAUGCGAGUGUUUGGGUGCGAAACCCAUGCGCGUAAUGAAAGUGAACGGAGGUGGGAGCCCUUACGGGCGCACCAUCGACCGAUCCUGAUGUCUUCGGAUGGAUUUGAGUAAGAGCAUAGCUGUUGGGACCCGAAAGAUGGUGAACUAUUCCCGAAUAGGGUGAAGCCAGAGGAAACUCUGGUGGAGGCUCGCAGCGGUUCUGACGUGCAAAUCGAUCGUCAAAUUUAGGAAUAGGGGCGAAAGGUCAGUCAAUUUUAACAAAUAAACCACAGCGAAGAUAAAAUGC
rnacentral:rRNA from 1 species